CGCGUGUGUCUUCCUCGCACGCCUCGCCGCCCGCGCGCCGCCCGCUCACCAACCAGCGCAGCGAGGGCGAGCGGGGUGAACCAGCCUUUCCUCCCGACGCGUUUGCGCCUCGCGAGUAUGAAGGCGACGGGUUCGGUUACGCGCGCGACGACGCGCCCAAGAUGCACGGCGCCUUCGAGGUAUACCGCAAGCCAUCUCGCGAGUCGUCCUGCGAGGCGGAUCCCGACGUGAAGUCGCUUCAGGAACAGAACGCGGUUCUCCACCGCGUGUGCCGCGCACUAUGCGCAGAGCUCGCCGACGCACAGCGCGAGAGAGAGGCAUUGCGCGUGCGCCUGGGAACACACACGCCCGUCUAGUAAGCACGUGUAUAAAGAAGCGGUUAAACGCGGCGUUUAAACGCCCUGCGUAAGGAAUGGUUCAUAUGUCCCCCGUUUCCUGUCUUUCGAAUUACGAGGUUGGCGCUGUGUCACGGUGGUUUGUUGACUCGUGGAUGUACUCUUUAUUUUAUAGACUAUAACUUUCCUUUUUUUCUACUACAUACUAUCUUAACAGAUUUAUUUUUCUCAUUUGUCCCGCAAUUGGCCAAGUAUUAUCUUAUUACGUACCUUCUAUAACCUAAAUUACAUUUCAAUGAACUGAAAAAAAAGUUGGCAAACCUUUUUUGGAACUAAUUAACUGUGGAAUUUUUCUUUUAUAGUCUGUGAAAUUGAUACAAAACUCAACCGGAUCCACACAAGUCCAUAGAUAUCCAUAGAAUCCAAGGUGACACAGUAGACAACCCGUGGAUCAGUAACGCAUCAGGGGAUUGGUAGCGCCCCAUCGAACUACCUCGCCCCUUAGAUUUGAAAAUUUUAAUGAAUUACCCUAUUACCGUACUUUCAGGCCAAAUCUAAUCUGCGAUUCCAAUGCGAAUUACGUUUAUCUAUCCUCAUAUUUUGUACCCGAUUUUGUAUAUUAUCCCGCGAAGUUCUAUCACUCGUAAGCUAUUGUAACCUAAGUGUAUAUCCUGUCUUAUCUACAUUUAUUGCGAUUUCGACUAAUGCUUCGAAUUCUAACGGGUCAUAAAUGUUUUUGCGACCCUGGCAGUUAACGUCUCCCGUGUAAUUUUAAACUUAAAAAUCGACCAAAACUAUUAUAACUCUACCUAUAUUUUAUUUACUGUCUGGCUUUAUUACAUUUGCUGGAAAGAAAAAAUAUUACAAAAUUAUGAAUAAAAACUUUAUAAACGGUUUUUAAAAAUUCAAAUUAUCUUUUCCAAAAAUCUUUUUAAAAAGUAUAAUUUUAACUGGUUUUAUAAAAAGUAAAUACAGAGGUAUUAUUGAUAUGAGUCAUAUACAGGGUGAAAGGGGUAGGUUAGUAAAAUCAUAAGUGAUUAAAAUUAAUCUGGAUUGUAAUUUUUUCAUCGGAGUUGUAUUUCAAGAUGAAAUCUGCUUUCAGGACAUCUGUAAAAAGGACAAUGACCAAAAGUGGUCCAAAUGUCCACCACUAACGAGACCUAUAUUGGCUUAUAGUCCAUUAAAUACAGAUUAACUUUCAGUAUGGGACGAAAAAAAAAUAAGCUGUCAGUAAAAAGUUAUGACCGUAUGAAAAAUUGUAAUAGUUUACGCGCUAAUCUCAGGAACUACUGGUCCGAUUUGAAAAAAUAUUUUUGUUAUGGAUAGCCCAUUUAUCAAGGAUGGUUUUAGGUUAUAUAACAUCACCCUACAACCAAUAGGGGUGGAGCAGCGACCACCCGACCAUAAUUCCAAUAUUGUUGUCUUUCUUCUGAGCUUAUUUUUUUUUUCUUUUAGCGAGAAUCUAACACGGCACACUAAGCGACAUGACAAUAUGCAUAUGUUAUAGUCAAACCUCGAAGUUCCGGCACUCCUAGGUUUGACUAGUCAAUCCUCAGGUCUGACUAGAAGUCUUAGUCAAAGCCCAAACAUUUCGGCCUUUGACUAAAUAAUGUUAGUCAAACCUAGGAGUAACUAAUUUGGUCAGGCAAAGGUCGAAACUCAAUUUAAUGAAAUCGGGGUUUGACUAGUCAAACCUGAAUUAAGACUUUAAACUAAACUAUACUUAAUUCUGAUCUUGAACUUAUUGCAUAGGCGUUACGACGGUCGGUUUUCACGCGCACGCGCAGCUAUCUCUUUAGGUGAAGGUACGAGUAACUAAACUUAUACAGUACUGAGGUUGGUUGUCAGUGUUUCUAGAUCGAUCUUGAUUAAUUACUAAUUUUUAGGGUUCUGUUACCUUAAAGGAUAAAGAGUUUAGACCCUAUUAUUAUGACUUCGCUAAAUGUUGUCUGUCACCAGGCUCGCAUCUCAUGAAUCAUUCACUUAAAAAAUAAAAAAUUCAAUAAAAUACUUAAAUAUUUAAGGGGGGCUCCCAUACAGCAAACGUGACUUGUUGCAGUUUUUUACUUGAUAUUAAUUAAAACGUAAACAGGUGAACCCUUGAAAUAUUCACAUGAUUUUAGUUGCAUUUUAAAAAUAAAUCAUAAAAUUAAAAUAAAAUAAGUAUUUAAGGGGGCUCCCAUACAACAAAAGAGUCACACGGAACCCUUCGUGAGCGAAUCCGACUCACACAUGGCUGGUUUUCUAUUUGCCGUCUACUUUUGACCGAGUCUGUCAGUCGUUUCUAGGAUUGACUAGGCAAAGCCCGAAACAGAUUAUUUUAGUUUCGACGUUUGACUGAACCGUUUAGGCACUUCUAGGUUUGACUUAGUCAAAGGCCGAUAUAAGAAUUUACUUCGGGGUUUGCCUGAAGGCCUUGGUCAAACCUAGGAUAGACCAGUCAUUCCGCGAAGAGACUGCAUAUCGACCUUUGACUAUGACACAUAGAUUAAUCCAAAAUGUGCGAUUGAUAGAAUGAUAUCAAGAACAUUUUUCGGAUGAAAAGAUAAAAAACAUACUAUUCAUUCAGUCAUAACUUUUUACUGACAGCAUAUUUUUGAUUGCGGUUUGGUUAUAAUGAAUCAGUAUUUAGUAGACUAUUUUACUACAUAGGUCUCGUUAGUGGUGGACAUUUGGACCACACUCCAUAUAUUUUUGGUCAUUGUCCUUUAGAAACCUGUCCUUUACACCCUGUAUUUAUUUACGAAUACUUUAAUGUUAAGAGGCUAUAAACAUUUUAAACGUCAUCAUUGCUGCUUAUCACAGUAUUUCGUAACUUAUGAUUAGACUACUUUGUCACAAUUUUAUUUUUACUUUAUUUUUAUUGAUGUGUGCAAGUAGUUUUCAUGGAGAUGGCAUGAGUGGAUUGAAUUUUAAAAAAAUAUCAGAGGUUUGAGUUGAGAGAAACGUUCAAAACGAGAUUGAUCUAUAAUCAUAUUGUUUUAUUCUUGAGUGCGUUCUUCAAGUUGAAACUUCAAAAAUUAUAUUAUGAAAUGUUUUUAACGAUUUAUAUAAUUAAUUAAGUGUAGUUGAAAAGUAUUAUGCUUAAAAAAUAUUUAAUUGAAAUCGGAUCAUAUUCAAAAAUUAUUUACUUCUUUAAGUUCCAUCGGUGCCAUUUCUAAUGAACUACUGAAGAGUAAACACCUUGAAGAGACCGAGCUAGUACAUUUCCACAAGUCAGGCAGAUGCUGUGAAGACUUCAAACUAUUUUAAGUGAUAAAACAAGGCUUACUAUAUUUUAUGCUAGAAACGUAUUUCGUUAGUGUACUGUAAUCAUUACUUCUACUUAGGACGGUGGGCCUUUAUUUUUACCCGAUUGCGGUAGAAGGAGGGUUAUGUUUUUGGAUUGGUGAUUAAAAGGGAAAAUUGAAUUCAAGUAAAGAAGUAUUCUCAUUAUUUCGUGCCGAACUUUUAUACAAAAGAGAUCAUUAACAUAAUUGACGUUAAUCAAUAGUGCGAAUAAGCGGUGUGAAUAUACCUUAACAAAUUCAUUUUUUGAUUCCUGCACUUGACAGUUUUUCUUUUUUUCUUUCAAACUUAUGUCUGGUAAUUUGGGAAGUGUAAUUACUUUUAGACUUAAAAUUAAGUUAGGCCCACUGCCCUAAAAAGUGUCCAUAUUGUUGUGUAUCGAAAUCCGUCGAAGUUCGAUGAUACUUUAUUCUUUUUCGUGUUCUAUAAAUCGUAUUAGUAUGAAUGGUUGUGCUAACAUUAUUAUUUGUAUUCUUUUCGAGUCCAAAAAUCAUUUGGGCUUAUAAUUAUUUUAUUUAUUUAAUACAUAAAUAAUGAUUAUAAAAUUAGGUGUCUAUGCUACUGUUCUCUAUUGCGAGUCUGAAGGCGUACUCAUUAAGACCUUUUUACAAAAACCCAGCAAAUUCAGGUGGUUGAAGACAAAAUAUAUUGUGGCAUUUACCUAGUAUAGACGCAUGCGUAACAUGCAUUGAAAUUUAUAUUCAAUGUUAUCAUUAUUUUCAAUGUUGUUUGAAAAACAAUUAUUUAUUAGUAGCGAGUAACGCUAAAGUUGCUUGUAUAGCAUUCCUUAUGUUUAUUAAAAUUGUAAUUUGCUUUGCUAUUAUUGUAAAAUAACCAAAAUUUACCAUCAAAAAGAGUAUUUGUUAAAAAUAUGUGAAUGAUGUAAAAAAAGAGUUAGUAUAGGGAGUGUAAAAAUGUGAAGCUUAAGAACUAUAAGAGAGGAGAUGCCAUGUCCAAGACUUGGCAUAGGUACAGUCAUUUGACUAGGAAUGUAUACUCUUUUAAAUGUAUUUUAAUCUUUAUUGCAAGGAAUUAAGGUUCAAAUAAAGCGUCAAUGUACACAUUCCCAUGCAAUUAACUGCACACGUCUGAUCGGAGCCUCUGCAUAUACUUAGUUAGGAAUAAACAACGCAAAGGAGAAGUCUCACUCCCCAUUGAAAAUAACCCCUCGUCUGAUAGUAAAGUGUAGUAACUCAAAAAUCGGCAAAAAUGAGAAAAAAUUGUUCUAUUUCCGGUUGUCAUCCUUAAUGGAAAAAUCUACAGAUACAAAUUAAAAAAAAGCUCAAACUCAGUGGUUCAACUCAUGGUCGUCAUACGAUCGUCGUCAGUUGUGUGAAUUCCAUUCUAUGUUUGAAAGCGAAAGUUUAAUAAUAUACAUAAAUGUAAUAAUUUUUUGUUUAUUAGUCAAUUAGGAUGACCACUAGGAAUAGGUAAUUUUUUACUACUAAUUUUGGCGAUUAUUUGAGAUGCUACACUGUGCUUUCUGGUGGGACUUAUUUCUGAGACUCCUUUAUUGCCGGUAUCGUUUGAGAUCACCCUGUAUUAUAUAAGGUUAUUGUAAAAGUAUUUAUCGUUUAUUUUAGUUGUAUCUUUAAGGACAUUAAUCUCCGCGGGCAGACUACCUUUUGCAGUGUAAAUAUAAUAUUUUAUUGCGACUCUUAUGUUGGUAUAUGUUACAAGCUUAUUAUAGAUCGCGCGGUUGAUUUUCAUGUUCAAACUAUUUUAAAAACUCAGUCUCUAAAUAAAUAAAAUAAAACUUUUGUGCAAAGAAAUAUAUCGGCUUUAAAAUAUCAAAAACUUUUUUAUUAUGUAUUAAACGUGAAAUCUAUAGAUUCUGCUGUAACCGCGCGAUUUUAUCAAUCUACAGUUUGGUCCAAUUUUUAUUACUAAAUUGUACCAUUAUUAGUCCAUUAUGUUUCAUAAAAUUUAUACAGUACUGCUUAAAAUAUUGUAGUAAAUUAUGUACAAUAAAUUUAUUUCCAAAUUUUA